AACUUAUAUUAGGUACAUAAAGAAUUACAUUAUAAAUAUUUAAAAUGGAAAAAUAAUAAUUAUAAAAUAUCUGCUACGUCUUUAAUAUUGUGGUGUAGAGCCUAGAGGCGACAUUCAUUCAUUAUGGAACGACAGAGCAAACGGACGUAUUGUGAUUGUAUUCUGUUAAAGGUGAAAAAUAUACAAUGUGAAAACUAAUGUCGAGAUUUAUUUAAAAAUCCUGAUAACCUGAAGCUGUGGCUACAGCUUCAGAAGUGGGAUCCCGGAAAAUAACACUAUUUUCUGUUCCACGCCAACGACUACGUUAAAGUUUUCAGAUUCUGAACUAUGGAACGAGGUGAUGAUCAGCCACGGAGAGUGGCCUAUGACUGGUUUAGUGCAGACCCAGGUGUACCCAGGUUCGAGGGUCAGGGUCGGGAAGCACUAGAAAUUAUUAUUCAGAGUAAGCAAGGGUAUUGCGGGUGCGCUAUACCGAAGUAGAGAAGGGUAUUGCGGGUGCGUUAUACCGAGGUAGAGAAGGGUAUUGCGGGUGCGCUAUACCGAUGUAGAGUAUAACACAGAUAAACGGCUUGACAGAGGGCGUCAACGACGGAAAGAAUUUGAAGGGCGGAGAAAUAUAGAGAGAUCUGUUCGUAUACCGGUGGGUGCAAAACGAGGACGUUCGACUAGCUCUUCUCUGGAACGUGGUGAAUUGAGCUAAGAGGAAGAAGUGAAGCUAAGACCAGACACGAGAAGAUGAGGUAAAUUCAAAAUCUCGAGCCGGAUGAUUCAGUUAAUUGAAGUUACCAAUCGAUUCAGUUAAUGAAGAGUUCCAAUUCAGUGGUAGAUUAUUUUGACGAUUCAACAGCAUUUGUAAAAGUUUAGUUAAAAAAAAAUAUAUACUUUGAACUUGAAGAUAAAUCAAAGUUAACUUUUAACACUAAUAAUAUUUAUUAUUCCUGAGUUCGAUUCUAUGUCGAGAGAACAAACGAUCCCAAUUUGGCUAAUAAAAAAGUAGAAGCAUGUUCUGAAAAUUACUAUCCAUUAUACCUUUCCAAAACUAGCUAAUGUAGCUAAGUCAUGGUAUCAGAGCUUACCGAGUAUGAAAGUAUAUUAUGUGGGCCGAAAGGAAAAAUAAACUAAUCGAAUCAUUUUCCUUGCGAACAGACUACGUUGAAUUCUUGACUAAAACAAAAUACUGGUUAAGCAAGUUAAAUAUGGAGAAUCUCUUGAGCAAUAAUAUUAUGCUAAGGUAUAUUUAAAACAAAAACAAAUUUUUAAUAAUUAUUGUUCGUUUAUGUAUAAGAGUUAACUGCCAUACUUAUUUGUCAUCAUUUAAAUAUUUGAAACCAUAUUAUCUACAUGGUUAUCAUUUUAUAUUUUCUGUGUAUAUCUUGUUUGAUGCAUAUAUUUAUUUAAGAAUUGCUGUGUACACUGUACACCGGUUGUUGCUUGGAUCCUGAUCUAUUGUUUCUAUAUUUAGACUUUCUACAUUUAUAACCUGUUGGGUGCGCCUUUUUCAAUAAAAUAAAAUAAAAUGAAAUUUGUUAAAUAGGUGUAAAUUAUGGAUAUCAGGCUGUAGAUUGUUUACUGUACGGCGUUGAGGAUAGAGCUGUAAAAGUUAGUGCGUAGGCUGAACAGUUUUCAGAACCAAAAAAAGUCAUAAAAUAUUUUAGAAUCUUUAAAUUAUGUCAAGCCCCGAAAUCUACGAUUCACAUUUUAAAUUUCGGAAUGAACGUAGGAAUGCUAUUCCAACUGUUAGAUCCAGCAGUUUGAGAGUCGAUACAAGAUGAUAUACCACAAUUAUUGCAAUGAACAUGGUCACCCGAGUUUAAAGUGCAUGAAAUAUCCUGCAAAGUGAUGUACCUGCGAGAUAUCAGGCCAUUUAUCUAUUAUAAUUCACUGUUUUACAAAUAAAACUAACAAAGAUCGCGAAAAGGAUGCGAAUUUCACAAAGGAUAAAAAUGAAGCAAGUUGUUGAAUUACGUCAUACAGUGAAUCUCUAGUGAAUAUAUCGUUUCAAUUAAAAUAAAUAAUAAUUAGGAGACUGUCAUUUGGAGUCGGAAAGUCAGUGUUCUGUCAUUAUGUUAACAAAGGUCACGGAACUCAAUUUAGAAAUAGUUGUACCAAAGGAGUUACCCGUACUCAGAGGCAUUGGUGCCAAUCUUAUAGCUCCAGUAGGUAUGAUGACUGUUUCCGUAGUAGUACAAGGUAUAAAAAAUAAACCAUUAAUGUGUAUAUCGUUGAAUAUUAUGUUAUUGCCCAGUCAGUCUUAUUGGAUAGAUAGAUAGAAGUCUUUAUUGCACACAAAAACACAUGUAAAGGACUACAACACAGAAAGAAGAAAACAGAAAAAAACUAUUGUGUGCAAAGGCGGCCUUAUUUCUUAGAGCAAUAUCUACCAGGCAACUUUUGCUGAAACAAGAAGCUAAUGUUGUAUAGUACAAAAUCGCAAAGAAUUCAUCGAUAUUACUUAUAUAUACCUAUAUUAAUUAAUUAUUAUAUUAAUAAACAUAAUAAAAUAUAAACAUACAUACAUAACUAUUCUAAGUAAAUAAUAUAUAUACUAUAUAUGGCAAUAUAGUUACUUGCAUAACAGGGAUACAUAUAAUAAAAUAAUAAACGAUAUUUAACUAUUAUGGCAAAGAUAAAUAAAAUUCUUUAAGACUAUUUUAAAUAUGGGCAGGGAUUUCGAAUUCUGAAUAUUUUUGGGCAGGUCAUUCCACAGUUGUACAGCACAUACUGAAAAGGAUUCCACGUAGAAUUUUGUCAUUCAUUAUUAGUAAUUCUUUCACCUAAAACCCGGAUAUUGUUAUCACAAAGACCUCUGCUGCGAUUAGAUUUCAGAAGAUGUCGAGCAUUAAAACACGCUUAGUAGCAAUUA